GAUGAACGCUGGCGGCGUGCCUAAUACAUGCAAGUCGAGCGAACAGGCGAGGAGCUUGCUCCUCUGACGUUAGCGGCGGACGGGUGAGUAACACGUGGAUAACCUACCUAUAAGACUGGGAUAACUUCGGGAAACCGGAGCUAAUACCGGAUAAUAUAUUGAACCGCAUGGUUCAAUAGUGAAAGACGGUUUUGCUGUCACUUAUAGAUGGAUCCGCGCCGCAUUAGCUAGUUGGUAAGGUAACGGCUUACCAAGGCAACGAUGCGUGGCCGACCUGAGAGGGUGAUCGGCCACACUGGAACUGAGACACGGUCCAGACUCCUACGGGAGGCAGCAGUAGGGAAUCUUCCGCAAUGGGCGAAAGCUUGACGGAGCAACGCCGCGUGAGUGAUGAAGGUCUUCGGAUCGUAAAACUCUGUUAUUAGGGAAGAACAAAUGUGUAAGUAACUAUGCACGUCUUGACGGUACCUAAUCAGAAAGCCACGGCUAACUACGUG
rnacentral:rRNA from 1 species